UACAGAGGUCUCAAGCGUUGUUCGGAUUCAUUGGGCGUAAAGGGUGCGUAGGCGGCGCGGUAAGUCGGGUGUGAAAUCUCGGAGCUUAACUCCGAAACUGCAUUCGAUACUGCCGUGCUUGAGGACUGGAGAGGAGACUGGAAUUCCUGGUGUAGCGGUGAAAUGCGCAGAUAUCAGGAGGAACACCGGUGGCGAAGGCGGGUCUCUGGGACGGUACUGACGCUGAGACGCGAAAGCGUGGGGAGCGAACAGG
rnacentral:rRNA from 1 species